UCUGGCUCAGGAUGAACGCUGGCGGCGUGCCUAACACAUGCAAGUCGAGCGAGAAGCUCCUUUGAAGAUACUUCGGUUGAUUCUGUGGAGUGGAAAGCGGCGGACGGGUGAGUAACGCGUAGGCAACCUGCCCCCUGGCAGAGGGAUAGCCUCGGGAAACCGGGAUUAAAACCUCAUAACGCAGAACCGGGACAUCCCGGAUCUGCCAAAGAUUUAUCGGCCGGGGAUGGGCCUGCGUCUGAUUAGUUAGUUGGUGGGGUAACGGCCUACCAAGGCGACGAUCAGUAGCCGACCUGAGAGGGUGAUCGGCCACAUUGGAACUGAGACACGGUCCAAACUCCUACGGGAGGCAGCAGUGGGGAAUAUUGCACAAUGGGCGAAAGCCUGAUGCAGCAACGCCGCGUGAAGGAUGAAGGCCCUUGGGUCGUAAACUUCUGUUCUAAGGGAAGAUAGUGACGGUACCUUAGGAGCAAGUCCCGGCUAACUACGUGCCAGCCGCGGC
rnacentral:rRNA from 1 species